rnacentral:rRNA from 1 species
AUUGAACGCUGGCGGCAGGCCUAACACAUGCAAGUCGAGCGAGCGGCGGACGGGUGAGUAAUGUAUGGGGACUGCCCGAUAGAGGGGGAUAACUACUGGAAACGGUAGCUAAUACCGCAUACUAUCGGAUAACCCAUAUGGGAUUAGCUAGUAGGUGGGGUAAUGGCUCACCUAGGCGACGAUCCCUAGCUGGUCUGAGAGGAUGAUCAGCCACCCUGGGACUGAGAAACGGCCAAGACUCCUACGGAGGCAGCAGUGGGGAAUAUUGCACAAUGGGCGCAAGACUGAGGCAGCCAUGCCGCGUGUGUGAAGAAGGCCUUAGGGUUGUAAAGUACUUUCAGUGGGGAGGCGUUACCGGCAGAAGAAGCACCGGCUAACUCCGUGCCAGCAGCCGCGGUAAUAC